UACGUAGGGGGCAAGCGUUGUCCGGAUUUAUUGGGCGUAAAGAGCGUGUAGGCGGCUAGGUAGGUCCGUUGUGAAAACUCGAGGCUCAACCUCGAGACGUCGAUGGAAACCAUCUAGCUAGAGUCCGGAAGAGGAGAGUGGAAUUCCUGGUGUAGCGGUGAAAUGCGCAGAUAUCAGGAAGAACACCGAUGGCGAAGGCAGUUCUCUGGGACGGUACUGACGCUGAGACGCGAAAGCGUGGGGAGCGAACAGG
rnacentral:rRNA from 1 species